CACGUAGGGUGCGAGCGUUGUCCGGAAUUAUUGGGCGUAAAGAGCUCGUAGGCGGUUUGUCGCGUCGGCCGUGAAAACCUGUGGCUUAACCAUGGGCUUGCGGUCGAUACGGGCAUCACUGGAGUUCGGCAGGGGAGACUGGAAUUCCUGGUGUAGCGGUGAAAUGCGCAGAUAUCAGGAGGAACACCGGUGGCGAAGGCGGGUCUCUGGGCAGAUACUGACGCUGAGGAGCGAAAGUAUGGGGAGCGAACAGG
rnacentral:rRNA from 1 species